GACGAACGCUGGCGGCGCGCCUAACACAUCGCAAGUCGAACGAGCAAAGAGGAGCUCGCUUCUCUGAGCGAGUGGCGAACGGGUGAGUAACGCGUGAGGAACCUGCCUCAAAGAGGGGGACAACAGUUGGAAACGACUGCUAAUACCGCAUAAGCCCACGGGUCGGCAUCGACCAGAGGGAAAAGGAGCAAUCCGCUUUGAGAUGGCCUCGCGUCCGAUUAGCUAGUUGGUGAGGUAAUGGCCCACCAAGGCGACGAUCGGUAGCCGGACUGAGAGGUUGAACGGCCACAUUGGGACUGAGACACGGCCCAGACUCCUACGGGAGGCAGCAGUGGGGAAUAUUGCACAAUGGGGGAAACCCUGAUGCAGCGACGCCGCGUGGAGGAAGAAGGUCUUCGGAUUGUAAACUCCUGUUGUUGAGGAAGAUAAUGACGGUACUCAACAAGGAAGUGACGGCUAACUACGUGCCAGCAGCCGCGGUAAAACGUAGGUCACAAGCGUUGUCCGGAAUUACUGGGUGUAAAGGGAGCGCAGGCGGGAAGACAAGUUGGAAGUGAAAUCCAUGGGCUCAACCCAUGAACUGCUUUCAAAACUGUUUUUCUUGAGUAGUGCAGAGGUAGACGGAAUUCCCGGUGUAGCGGUGGAAUGCGUAGAUAUCGGGAGGAGCACCAGUGGCGAAGGCGGCCUACUAGGCACCAACUGACGCUGAGGCUCGAAAGUGUGGGUAGCAAACAGGAUUAGAUACCCUGGUAGUCCACACCGUAAACGAUGAUUACUAGGUGUUGGAGGAUUGACCCCUUCAGUGCCGCAGUUAACACAAUAAGUAAUCCACCUGGGGAGUACGACCGCAAGGUUGAAACUCAAAGGAAUUGACGGGGGCCCGCACAAGCAGUGGAGUAUGUGGUUUAAUUCGACGCAACGCGAAGAACCUUACCAAGUCUUGACAUCCUGCGACGGACAUAGAAAUAUGUCUUUCCUUCGGGACGCAGAGACAGGUGGUGCAUGGUUGUCGUCAGCUCGUGUCGUGAGAUGUUGGGUUAAGUCCCGCAACGAGCGCAACCCUUAUGGUCAGUUACUACGCAAGAGGACUCUGGCCAGACUGCCGUUGACAAAACGGAGGAAGGUGGGGAUGACGUCAAAUCAUCAUGCCCUUUAUGACUUGGGCUACACACGUACUACAAUGGCGUUAAACAAAGAGAAGCAAGACCGCGAGGUGGAGCAAAACUCAGAAACAACGUCCCAGUUCGGACUGCAGGCUGCAACUCGCCUGCACGAAGUCGGAAUUGCUAGUAAUCGUGGAUCAGCAUGCCACGGUGAAUACGUUCCCGGGCCU
rnacentral:rRNA from 1 species